rnacentral:tRNA from 1 species
GGCUUGGCUGAGCCAGGGUGGCCGAGACUUCGAAUCUGCGCGCGGUGGUUCGACUCCACCCGGGGCCA